AUUGAACGCUGGCGGCAUGCCUUACACAUGCAAGUCGAACGGCAGCGCGGGUGCUUGCACCUGGCGGCGAGUGGCGAACGGGUGAGUAAUAUAUCGGAACGUGCCCUAGAGUGGGGGAUAACGUGGCGAAAGUUACGCUAAUACCGCAUACGAUCUACGGAUGAAAGUGGGGGAUCGCAAGACCUCAUGCUCCGGGAGCGGCCGAUAUCUGAUUAGCUAGUUGGUGGGGUAAAGGCCCACCAAGGCGACGAUCAGUAGCUGGUCUGAGAGGACGACCAGCCACACUGGGACUGAGACACGGCCCAGACUCCUACGGGAGGCAGCAGUGGGGAAUUUUGGACAAUGGGGGCAACCCUGAUCCAGCAAUGCCGCGUGAGUGAAGAAGGCCUUCGGGUUGUAAAGCUCUUUUGUCAGGGAAGAAACGGUCUGGGUUAAUACCCUGGGCUAAUGACGGUACCUGAAGAAUAAGCACCGGCUAACUACGUGCCAGCAGCCGCCGUAAUAC
rnacentral:rRNA from 1 species